AACCCCGCCAGCGAUGGCGGACUGAACCGCAAGGAGUCAGCAGAGGCCAUAGUACCGUAAGAACGUCCCGACGGAGGUUCUGGGAAGGGC
rnacentral:ncRNA from 1 species